rnacentral:rRNA from 1 species
UACGUAGGGUGCAAGCGUUAAUCGGAAUUACUGGGCGUAAAGCGUGCGCAGGCGGUUUUUUAAGUCAGAUGUGAAAUCCCCGGGCUUAACCUGGGAACUGCGUUUGAAACUACAAGGCUAGAGUGUGGCAGAGGGGGGUGGAAUUCCACGUGUAGCAGUGAAAUGCGUAGAGAUGUGGAGGAACACCGAUGGCGAAGGCAGCCCCCUGGGUUAACACUGACGCUCAGGCACGAAAGCGUGGGGAGCAAACAGG